AUGAAAGCCAGCAUGCCUUUCAUUAAGCACUGCUUCUCUGUAAUCCAAACCACCUAAGUCAAGGAAACACAGCUAAUAAUGCAGUGAUAAGAACCACGCCAACACUGUUAGAGCAAAGUCAAUACAAUUAUUUUUUAACCUGCCCUUUUAGAGAUUUUCUUUAGGAGAAAAGUCCCUGUGCCUCAGUGCUGUAUGUAUUCUAGCAACAACAAAUUAUUUCUGUGCUGAUAAGGGAUGUGUAAAAUCCACAGCUGAUUACCAAAGACAAACACGUGCUUAGCAGUUUUCAGAAGUCUGUCAGCUUGGGGCACAUCAGGCUGGGGUUCCAAUGGAAAUUCACGUUGUGCUGGAGCAAGAAUCACAUUUUUUACUCAGAUGUGAGGAACAGGGAGGAGAAGUGCAGCUCCAGCAGGGCACAGGUGGCAGAUUAGAGCACAUCCCUCACAUUAAGGAAAUUCCACCUUACGCAGUAUCUGCACAGCAUAUGGUGCAUUUUUGAAGAUCACUCCACAAGCUGCAGCAUAAUAACUGAGGAAACUGCCAUUACUCAGUGGAAACUGGCCCAGGAAGAUCGUGAUGCAGCUGCUUCGAUUCGUUCCACCUAGAAAUGGUUCCCAGUGCUUAAGAUCCAUACUCCAAAAAACCCCAAGCAAUUAACCGGACUUGAAAGCCCCAUUAAUGAUAGAAAUGUUUCAAUCCACAUGCUCUUUACCAAGCUCCUGCAUUGCUACCUACUGGUAAGUUUGGGCUCACUGUACUUCCCUGUUUUUCAAAGCAACAGAGGUUCCCUGUGCUAAAAAUCCUUGAGAAGCACCUUACGAGUAAGGUGAGGAACCUAAUGAGUAAGGCACAAACUAUCCUGUGUUUUCAAAUUACCACUGCACUCAAGGUGAGGUGAUUUUGCUUGUAACAGUUAACUAUGAAAGGGGAAAUCAUGCACUGAAGCCUCCACUUUCCAGUAUGUCACAGUAGCAGACAUGGUGGUUACACAGUUUUUCUUUCACCCUUUCAGCAAACUAGCCAGAAGGGAAACAAAGUGUUAUGGUGGCUCAGGCAGCAAGCAGCAACACUAUUACUGCUGCAGUCAUGUGCUAGCAUCCAAGUUCCCUGGAGAAAGGAAUUAACUGAUGAAACAAAGCAGGUGAUGAUGGCAUGUCAGUUUCCAUUCAAUCUGCAGAUGAUAGUAGUAGAAGAAACGCAAUUUCAGAUAGAUCUGUCAGUAAGAUUUAUGUGCAUCAAUAAAAGAUGAGGGGAAAUUUGUCAGCCAAAUCAUUAAGUUCAGCGCUGACCGUAGGACAGCCACAAGUUUGAUCCCUACAAAUCUACCUUUGUUGCCACAAUUUGAUUCACUUGUCUACAAGGGGUGGUUUUCAAGCAGUGCUUUCAGGGGGUCCCAGCAGUUUGACAAUCAGUUUCUCAGUUUUGACUCCAUAUCAUGAGACUGAAAUCACACAACACCUAAACAACAAUGCAUGUCUAAAGCGACCCACCAGAAAGUGCACUAAAUCAAAACAACUGCACUGAUUGCUGCUACCUCAAACGAGGAACAAACAACAGGCUCCUCCCUCAUUAACUAUCUUGUCUAAAACAGCUCUCCAAGAUCCCUUGCUUAAAAAGCCUGACAGUUUUGAAUGCAUGGCUUCAAGUGAGAACUUCAGGAUUUGUUGCUGUAUGGGAACUGCUGAAUCAUGGCCUGAACCUCUGAUUGAGCACCUGAGGCGAGCACUGAGUCAGCCAUGGGAGCACAGGUGAAGGCAAUUCAGCUGUGCUGCUGGAAGGGGGGGAGCCUGGCUGCACCUCUGCUAGACCCAUGUAAGAGCUGAAUGCCAGCGGGGAAGGAUCUCUGCUGGAGAUCUCUCCUUGGAGUCUUAUAGUGAGCCCAGGAUCAGCCAGUCACAGUACCUGCUGCUAACAGGAUUGUACUGUGUAUUGCUCCACAAGUCACAGGCAAGAGACUUGCUCAAAGCCUAAAAAAACCACAACCACAGACUAUCUGAAAGAACAGUCUACCUGAACUUUGUACUUCUGGUAAAUGAACAACA